GGUGAUCCGACAGACGACUCUCUAUACAGUAUAGAUAUAUUAUAUGUUGUCAAUCCAGUCGCAUCUUGUCUUGGCCUUAACUGUUCAGUUCUGUGUUACAGGGCUGGUUCAUUGUGUAUUUAAGGGUAUCUGGGUCGAUCUACUUUUAUGUCAUUGUCUUUAGUUGUUUUAACAAUAGCCCAGGCUCAGCUUCUCAGUUGAUUGGUGUAAGUUCAAAUAUACUUCUCACCGCCAUGUUACUAAUCAGUUUUGCACCACACUGUCUCUACAUGAGGACUGUUCUAAAGAUUGAGUUUUGAUCUAAGGAUUAUUGCACGUGUUGGCUGCCCGGCUGCUGGGUGCUUGAGCACACUCCCGUGUCACCCACAGGAGUGUCUACUCCUACUACUUCUUCCUCUACGGAAUAAAGAUAUAGACCUCACAACCCGUAGCCUGUGGUUAUUACAGAGCACCACUAUUUCAUGGCU
rnacentral:lncRNA from 1 species